rnacentral:tRNA from 1 species
GUCGUCGUGGCCGAGUGGUUAAGGCGACAGACUAGAAAUCUGUUGGUCUCUGCCCGCACAAGUUCGAAUCCUGUCGGCGACG